rnacentral:rRNA from 1 species
CCCUUAGAUGUUCUGGGCUGCACGCGCGCUACACUGACGAACUCAACGAGCUUAUCACCUUGGCAGAGAUGUCUGGGUAAUCUUUUGAAAGUUCGUCGUGCUGGGGAUAGAUGAUUGUAAUUAUUCGUCUUGAACGAGGAAUUCCUAGUAAGUGUGAGUCAUCAGCUCGCGCUGAUUACGUCCCUGCCCUUUGUACACACCGCCCGUCGCUCCUACCGAUUGAAUGGUCCGGUGAGGUUCUCGGAUUUUUUCUGUUGUUUGGUUCGCUAAACGAUUGAAGAGAGAAGUUACCCAAACCUUACCAUUUAGAGGAAGGAGAAGUCGUAACA